rnacentral:rRNA from 1 species
GGGGGCUAACAUGCAGUCGAACGGAUCCUUCGGGAUUGGUGGCGGACGGGUGAGUAACACGUGGAAACGUGCCCGUUUGGAUUCUGGACCAGCUCUCGGAAACUUGAGCUAAUACCGGAUGUGCCCUUCGGGGGAAAGAUUUAUCCCCAUUGGAGCGGCCCGCGUCAGAUUAUCUACUUGGAGGGGUAAAGGCCCACCCAGGUUACUAUCAAUAUCUGGUCUGACAGGAUGAUCAACCGCAUUGCGACUGAAACACGGUCCCAAACUCCUACGGGAGGCAACACAUGGGGAAUCUUGCGCAAUGGAGCGAAAGCCUGACGCAUACCUUGCCGCGUGAAUGAUGAAUGUCUUAGGAUUGUAAAAUUCUUUCUCCGGGGACUAUAAUGACGGUCCCCUUAUAAGAAGCCCCAAGCUAACUUCGAGCCAACAUCCGCAGUAAUACGAAGGGGGCUAGCGUUGCUCGCAAUUACUGGACGUAAAGGGAGCGUAUGCUGACUGUUAAUUUAGAGGUGAAAGCCCAGGGCUCAACCUUGGAAUUGCCUUUGAUACUGGCAGUCUUGACUACGGAACAGGUAUGUGGAACUCCAAAUGUAAAGGUGAAAUUCGUAGAUGUUCUUAAAAACACCAGUGGCGAAUGCGACAUACUGGUCCGUUACUGACACUGAGGCUCCAAAUCUUGGGGAGCAAACUGGAUUAGAUACCCUGGUAGUCCACGCCGUAAACGAUUAAUGCUACUUGUCAGCCUGCCUGCAUGUCGUUGACACAUCUAACUCAUUAACCACUCCCCUGGCGAGUACGGUCCAAGAUUAAAACUCCCACGAAUUGACGAGGCCCCACAAGCU